AGCCUGCCCACUGAUUGAAAUUUAAAGGGCCGCGGUAUACUGACCGUGCGAAGGUAGCAUAAUCAUUAGUCUUUUAAUUGAAGGCUUGUAUGAAUGGUUGGACAAAAAGUAAGCUGUCUCAGUUAUAAUAAUUGAAUUUAACUUUUAAGUGAAAAGGCUUAAAUGGAUUAAGGGGACGAUAAGACCCUAUAAAGCUUGACAAUAAGUUAAUUAUAUUAUAAAUUGUUAGUAUAACUUGAUUUUAAUUGACGUUUGUUACGUUGGGGCGACGAAAAUAUAAUGAGUAACUGUUCUUAAAUGUUUAUUGACAAAUAUAAUUGGUAUUUGAUUGAUCCUUUAUUAAAGAUUAAAAGAUUAAGUUACUUUAGGGAUAACAGCGUAAUCUUCUUUGAGAGUUCAUAUCGACAAGAAGGUUUGCGACCUCGAUGUUGAAUUAAGGUAUCCUUAUGAUGCAGCAGUUAUAAAGG
rnacentral:rRNA from 1 species